GAUAGCUCAGCUGGUAGAGUCCAAGACUUUUAAUUUCAGGGUAAUGGGUUCGAGCCCCAUGAUGGGCCA